UUUAUUGGAGAGUUUGAUCCUGGCUCAGGACGAACGCUGGCGGCGUGCCUAAUACAUGCAAGUCGAGCGAAUCUGAGGGAGCUUGCUCCCAAAGAUUAGCGGCGGACGGGUGAGUAACACGUGGGCAACCUGCCUGUAAGACUGGGAUAACUUCGGGAAACCGGAGCUAAUACCGGAUAAUGCUUUUGAACUCAUGU
rnacentral:rRNA from 1 species